UACGGUAGGGUGCAAGCGUUUAAUCGGAAUUACUGGGCGUAAAGCGUGCGCAGGCGGUGAUGUAAGACAGAUGUGAAAUCCCCGGGCUCAACCUGGGAACUGCAUUUGUGACUGCAUCGCUAGAGUACGGCAGAGGGGGAUGGAAUUCCGCGUGUAGCAGUGAAAUGCGUAGAUAUGCGGAGGAACACCGAUGGCGAAGGCAUCCCCUGGGCCUGCACUGACGCUCAUGCACGAAAGCGUGGGGAGCAAAC
rnacentral:rRNA from 1 species